rnacentral:lncRNA from 1 species
UUGGAUGUAGUCUCCACUACUUGAAUGAUUUCUGCAAAGAUUGCCUCAAUAAUGUAUAGUUAUCUGAGAACUCACCGUUACUCUUGCUCAGUCAAUUCAUCUUGUGAAAUUGGAGUUCCAUUGUGUAUGGAGCUUGAGAGGAAUCAAGUUUCUCACUUUCUUAGCGACAAUGUGACCAAACAGACUGGCCAUUGAUGUCGUUUCUCGAUGCGAAAUUC